rnacentral:rRNA from 1 species
GAUGAACGCUGGCGGCGUGCCUAAUACAUGCAAGUCGAGCGAACAGACGAGGAGCUUGCUCCUCUGACGUUAGCGGCGGACGGGUGAGUAACACGUGGAUAACCUACCUAUAAGACUGGGAUAACUUCGGGAAACCGGAGCUAAUACCGGAUAAUAUAUUGAACCGCAUGGUUCAAUAGUGAAAGACGGUUUUGCUGUCACUUAUAGAUGGAUCUGCGCCGCAUUAGCUAGUUGGUAAGGUAACGGCUUACCAAGGCAACGAUGCGUAGCCGACCUGAGAGGGUGAUCGGCCACACUGGAACUGAGACGCGGUCCAGACUCCUACGGGAGGCAGCAGUAGGGAAUCUUCCGCAAUGGGCGAAAGCCUGACGGAGCAACGCCGCGUGAGUGAUGAAGGUCUUCGGAUCGUAAAACUCUGUUAUUAGGGAAGAACAAAUGUGUAAGUAACUAUGCACGUCUUGACGGUACCUAAUCAGAAAGCCACGGCUAACUACGUG